rnacentral:rRNA from 1 species
ACGCUCGACACCUACGGGAGCAGCAGUGGGGAAUAUUGCACAAUGGGGGGAACCCUGAUGCAGCGACGCCGCGUGAGGGAAGAAGGUUUUCGGAUUGUAAACCUCUGUCCUUGGUGACGAUAAUGACGGUAGCCAAGGAGGAAGCCACGGCUAACUACGUGCCAGCAGCCGUGGUAAUCUGAGCGGGCUGGCAAGGC